GGCUCAGGAUGAACGCUAGCUACAGGCUUAACACAUGCAAGUCGAGGGGCAGCAUGGUCUUAGCUUGCUAAGGCCGAUGGCGACCGGCGCACGGGUGAGUAACACGUAUCCAACCUGCCGUCUACUCUUGGACAGCCUUCUGAAAGGAAGAUUAAUACAAGAUGGCAUCAUGAGUCCGCAUGUUCACAUGAUUAAAGGUAUUCCGGUAGACGAUGGGGAUGCGUUCCAUUAGAUAGUAGGCGGGGUAACGGCCCACCUAGUCUUCGAUGGAUAGGGGUUCUGAGAGGAAGGUCCCCCACAUUGGAACUGAGACACGGUCCAAACUCCUACGGGAGGCAGCAGUGAGGAAUAUUGGUCAAUGGGCGAGAGCCUGAACCAGCCAAGUAGCGUGAAGGAUGACUGCCCUAUGGGUUGUAAACUUCUUUUAUAAAGGAAUAAAGUCGGGUAUGGAUACCCGUUUGCAUGUACUUUAUGAAUAAGGAUCGGCUAACUCCGUGCCAGCAGCCGCGGUAAUACGGAGGAUCCGAGCGUUAUCCGGAUUUAUUGGGUUUAAAGGGAGCGUAGAUGGAUGUUUAAGUCAGUUGUGAAAGUUUGCGGCUCAACCGUAAAAUUGCAGUUGAUACUGGAUAUCUUGAGUGCAGUUGAGGCAGGCGGAAUUCGUGGUGUAGCGGUGAAAUGCUUAGAUAUCACGAAGAACUCCGAUUGCGAAGGCAGCCUGCUAAGCUGCAACUGACAUUGAGGCUCGAAAGUGUGGGUAUCAAACAGGAUUAGAUACCCUGGUAGUCCACACGGUAAACGAUGAAUACUCGCUGUUUGCGAUAUACGGCAAGCGGCCAAGCGAAAGCGUUAAGUAUUCCACCUGGGGAGUACGCCGGCAACGGUGAAACUCAAAGGAAUUGACGGGGGCCCGCACAAGCGGAGGAACAUGUGGUUUAAUUCGAUGAUACGCGAGGAACCUUACCCGGGCUUAAAUUGCAGAUGAAUUACGGUGAAAGCCGUAAGCCGCAAGGCAUCUGUGAAGGUGCUGCAUGGUUGUCGUCAGCUCGUGCCGUGAGGUGUCGGCUUAAGUGCCAUAACGAGCGCAACCCUUGUUGUCAGUUACUAACAGGUUAUGCUGAGGACUCUGACAAGACUGCCAUCGUAAGAUGUGAGGAAGGUGGGGAUGACGUCAAAUCAGCACGGCCCUUACGUCCGGGGCUACACACGUGUUACAAUGGGGGGUACAGAGGGCCGCUACCACGCGAGUGGAUGCCAAUCCCCAAAACCUCUCUCAGUUCGGACUGGAGUCUGCAACCCGACUCCACGAAGCUGGAUUCGCUAGUAAUCGCGCAUCAGCCACGGCGCGGUGAAUACGUUCCCGGGCCUUGUACACACCGCCCGUCAAGCCAUGGGAGCCGGGGGUACCUGAAGUGCGUAACCGCGAGGAGCGCCCUAGGGUAAAACUGGUGACUGGGGCUAA
rnacentral:rRNA from 1 species